rnacentral:piRNA from 1 species
UGGGACUUGUCUUAUGAAUGGUGUGAAUC